AGGGAAUAUUGCACAAUGGAGGAAACUCUGAUGCAGCGACGCCGCGUGAGUGAUGAAGGACUUCGGUUCGUAAAGCUCUGUUGCAGGGGAAAAAGAAAGUGAUUGUACUCUGCGAGAAAGGGUCGGCUAACUUCGUGCCAGCAGCCGCGGUAAGACGAGGGACCCUAGCGUUGUUCGGAAUCAUUGGGCGUAAAGCGGGUGUAGGUGGCUUUGUAAGUCGGGUGUGAAAGCCCAGGGCUCAACCCUGGAAGUGCAUCUGAUACUGCGAAGCUUGAGUGCUGGAGAGGUUACUAGAAUUCCUGGUGUAGUGGUGAAAUACGUAGAUAUCAGGAGGAAUACCGGUGGCGAAGGCGGGUAACUGGCCAGACACUGACACUCAGACCCGAAAGCGUGGGGAUCAAAC
rnacentral:rRNA from 1 species